UACAGAGGUCCCAAGCGUUGUUCGGAUUCAUUGGGCGUAAAGGGUGCGUAGGUGGCAGGGUAAGUUGGAUGUGAAAUCCCGGGGCUCAACCCCGGAACUGCAUUCAAUACUGCCCUGCUAGAGUACUGGAGAGGAGAUUGGAAUUCAUGGUGUAGCAGUGAAAUGCGUAGAUAUCAUGAGGAAGACCAGUGGCGAAGGCGGAUCUCUGGACUGUUACUGACACUGAGGCACGAAGGCCAGGGGAGCAAACGGG
rnacentral:rRNA from 1 species